UACGAAGGGGGCUAGCGUUGCUCGGAAUUACUGGGCGUAAAGGGCGCGUAGGCGGAUAGUUUAGUCAGAGGUGAAAGCCCAGGGCUCAACCCUGGAAUUGCCUUUGAUACUGGCUAUCUUGAGUUCGGGAGAGGUGAGUGGAACUCCGAGUGUAGAGGUGAAAUUCGUAGAUAUUCGGAAGAACACCAGUGGCGAAGGCGACUCACUGGCCCGAUACUGACGCUGAGGCGCGAAAGCGUAGGGAGCAAACAGG
rnacentral:rRNA from 1 species